rnacentral:rRNA from 1 species
UGUAGUCUUGCAAUUGGAUUGAGAACAACGUAAAACUCUUAUCGAUAAGCCAUUGGAGGGCAAGUCUGGUGCCAGCAGCCGCGGUAAUUCCAGCUCCAAUAGCGUAUAUUAACGUUGUUGCAGUUAAAAAGCUCGUAGUUGAAGUGAGGGAGUGUGUGUUGUGAUCGAAUCGAUCGAGAGCAGUACAAGCUCCCCCUUCCAAUGGGUGUAUUGGGGUAUUCAUUUACUUCAUUACUCCUUUGGUCGUUUACUGUGAGAAAAUUAGAGUGUUCAAAGCGGGCGUUUGUUUGAAUAGAUUAGCAUGGAAUAAUGAUUGAAGGCUUUCGUGUUCGAUUUGAUUGGUUUGUUCAUGGAAGCAAGGUUAAAAGGAACAGUUGGGGGUAUUCAUAUUCACUAGUUAGAGGUGAAAUUCUCGGAUUUAUGGAA